CCAAUGUUCCACCCGUGCCUUCGGGCCGGUACGGCACGGCCCGACAGCUGGUGGGCCGUGUCUGGGCGGGAGGUGCAUCCCAUGGGCCGGCACGGCCCGAUCGGCAGGCCCGGCACGAAGUGCCGAUCGGGCCGUGCCGGCCCGAUGGAUGGUGGGUCGUGCCUAGCCGUGCCUAGGCCGGGCCAUGCUAGGCGUGCCUUUUGGCCAUCUAUACAGCCACGGCGUUACGUCUCCGUUUCAGCCACGGAAACGUCUCCGUUUCCUCCGUCUCAGAUACUAGAAAUGAACAAAAAAAAACCCAGUUCUUCGAUGCUUCCCUCAUCCCAUCAGCCAUGGUCCUGAAGCUUCUUGAUGGCGGUGGUGGCAGCGGCGGAGGAUUUGGUCCCUUUGCUACUGAGCACAAGCGACAUGAGCAGAUCGGCAACCUCGCCGUCGAGCUCAAGCACCAGCGCCUUGCUUCUGAGCCAUCAGCUAUGGUACCGAGGUAAGCUAGCUUCAUGGGACUCCCUUGCAGUCGAGCACAAGCGACGCGCGAGUAGAUCUGCGACCUCGCCGGCGUGCUCGAGCACCACACAGUGCUUGUCUCUGAUCUGCAAGAGCAGAUCAGUGAUUUGGUCUCUUGGAACUAGCAGGGAAAAUCAGUGUCAUAUUGCUGAAUCGGCCUCCCUUGAUGCAAUCCUUGACUUUCUUGAGUCAGUAACAGAGGAGUAUGAAAUGAAGUAUGUGUGGAUGCAUCCAGAACAGCGCUAUACUCUGAUACGUGUAAAAAAGCGUGGU